AAUUUCGAUGAUACGCGAGGAACCUUACCUGGGCUCAAAUAGUAUGUUGACGUAUUCUGAAAGGGAUACUUCUUCGGACAAUAUACAAGGUGCUGCAUGGUUGUCGUCAGCUCGUGCCGUGAGGUGUCGGGUUAAGUCCCAUAACGAGCGCAACCCCUAUCAUUAGUUGCCAUCAGGUCAAGCUGGGGACUCUAAUGAAACUGCCUACGCAAGUAGUGAGGAAGGUGGGGAUGACGUCAAAUCAGCACGGCCCUUACGUCCAGGGCUACACACGUGCUACAAUGGCCGGUACAAAGGGCAGCUACCUGGUGACAGGAUGCUAAUCUCAAAAGCCGGUCUCAGUUCGGAUCGGAGUCUGCAACCCGACUCCGUGAAGCUGGAAUCGCUAGUAAUCGUGGAUCAGCCAAGCCGCGGUGAAUACGUUCCCGGGCCUU
rnacentral:rRNA from 1 species